ACCCACAGAACACCACGUGAAGAUGAAGAGAGAUUGCAGGGAUGCAUCUACAGACCAAGGAAUGCCAAAGAUUGCCAGCAAACCAUCAGAAGCUCGGAGAGAGGCAUGGAACAGAUUCUCCCUUGCAGCCCUCCAGGAGAAACCAACCCUGCCAAUGCCUUGAUCUUGGACUUCUAGCCUCCAGAACUGUGAGACAAUGAAAUUUCUCUUGUUUAAGCCAUUCAGUCUGUGGUACUUCGUUAUGGAGGCCCUAGCAAACGAAUACAGAUUUUGGCAUUAUUUAAUGCUUUCUGGACACAGAACAUCUUCCCUGAAGACUGUCUUUAUCCCUGAGUUAAUCAGUCAAGGACUCCAUUUUCAGAAAAUUCUAAGGUAAAGGGGAAAUCUCAUGGAAUGGGAAUUUAAUUACCAAAAUGUUAGUGAGGCUUGGUGUCUCCACAGUACCACUCCCUGAAGCCGUGGAAUGAACAAGCACAGCCCAGAACCCACCCUCACAACUGGGCUCAGAGCUAAGCGUUGCUGGACAUCCCUUGCGACCUGCAGUAGAUUCUCUUAAAAACAAGCACUUGAAUGCAGUGACUUUCUGAGUGCUCUCCACUGAGCUCCCCUUAACAAUGCUCUCUUGCGGACAGUGCCAAGAUAUUUUGGGCUUCCCUCCAUCUCAGUCCAGCCAGGAGUCAGGAAAGCUGUUCCCCGGCUUCCCAGUUCCCAGAGGCCAGGGCAGGUUUCCAUCUGCCUACCACCUGUCGGUAUCUGACCCGUGAGGGGCUGCUGUGGAGACAGCUGGGACAGAGUUGGAAACUCAUUAUGUUAAAGAUGGAGGAGAAGCUUUCUGUAGGCUUGUGUCGUGGGCUGCCUCUUAACAGGGUUUUGUCACUGUUAGAUUUGAGGUUAAAAAAGUGUUUCUUCCUUUGAUGAAAAGAGAUAUUUCUAAAGGAGAGGAGCAUGGGGAAAUAAUGUGGCCAGACCAGUUAUGGAGCCAUUCCGAAUCCUUGCAAAUAUUAUGGUGGCCAUACUGAAUACAACUGAAUUCAAACAACUGUCAGGUUGGUACCAGGCUCCUUGACAAGGGAAGUAUAGGCAUGGAGACUGAACAGGUGGCUGAACCGAUUAGGGAGGAACACGUCCUUCUUGUGCAAAACCUGGAGACCCCGGGCUUUGCUGAGGUCACCGCUGUCAGCUUGCCCUUUUCUCAGUGAAGGUUAUAUUGUCAGACGGACUAAAGGCUUGGGGUGGAGGAAAUUUACUGUGUAAAAUCCAGAUUCUCCAGGACAGAUGAUGUUUCCUUAUCCAAGGGAAAGAAUGUCAACUCGGGUCUCAGUGUUUAGUUCUCUAUCCUGACCCCUUGCCAGCCAGAAUUCGUAGCUGCCAUAAGACACAUCCCAGUGAGCCCCUGCCAACAGGGAGUGCAUGUGGUUGUUUACUUUUGAAGGUUAGCGCGAUGGCAGCUGUUGUUUCUCUCCAUCACCGGAGCUGGUGGACUCGUUUGUUCAGCUGAGUGGGCUGUUUCUCCUGGUGGGAAGAUGUUUAAGGCUUCCGUAGCCAGGGAAGGCUGGGAGGGGCUGGGUGAGGAGUCAGGCAGCUGUGCAGGGGGUGGUCUCUGUCAAGGGCAGAGGGGAACUGGAUAUGUUUGAGGGGUGGGGGAUCUGGAAUAGCAGAGAGAGAAUAUGGUGGGGAUCACACUCAGGGGUUGGGGGCGUCCGGUGAACUGACAGAUGGAAGAGAAGGGAGGGGGCCCCUCCAUCACUCAUGGUGCAGCCAGAAAAGAGAAGUCGUCCAAAAUGUUUUCCACAGAGAGAACUUAAUACAAAGAAUUUAUUACCUGGGAAGAGCUGAGAAGACACAGGGGGUGGUGAGGCAAAUUAGAGAUGAAUAAAGCAAGAAGCCAGCUGUAGCAUCAGGUAUAUUAACUUGAGCACAGAAGCUGGGGCACUGGCUGGAAAUGGGAACCAGUUCGGGCCUGCCGAGUGGGAGCUGGGAUGGUGAAGGGAGGGGCUCCUGGUGGGAGGUGGAGCCACUCAGAGACGCUGCCUGAGGUGAGAAGGUGAAGAACCCUGGCCCCUCCCCAUCCCCAGAGCCGGGGGGGGGGGGGGGGGGGGGUGGGGGGGGUGGGGGGGGGUGGGGGGGGGUGGGGGGUGGGGGGGUGGGGGGGGUGGGGGGUGUUAACAUCUUUAUUGGAGUAUAAUUGCUUUACAAUGGUGUGUUAGUUUCUGCUUUAUAACAAAGUGAAUCAGUUAUACAUAUACAUAUGUUCCCAUAUCUCUUCCCUCUUGCGUCUCCCUCCCUCCCACCCUCCCUAUCCCACCCCUCCAGGCGGUCACAAAGCACUGAGCCGAUAUCCCUGUGCUAUGCGGCUGCUUCCCACUAGCUGUCUACCUUACGUUUGUUAGUGUAUAUAUGUCCAUGAUUCUCUCUCGCUUUGUCACAGCUCACCCUUCCCCCUCCCCAUAUCCUCAAGUCCGUUCUCUAGUAGGUCUGUGUCUUUAUUCCUGUUUCACCCCUAGGUUCUUCAUGACAUUUUUUUUCCUUAAAUUCCAUAUAUAUGUGUUAGCAUACGGUAUUUGUCUCUCUCUUUCUGACUUACUUCACUCUGUAUGACAGACUCUAGGUCUAUCCACCUCAUUACAAAUAGCUCAAUUUCGUUUCUUUUUAUGGCUGAGUAAUAUUCCAUUGUAUAUAUGUGCCACAUCCCCAGAGCGUUUUUCUGUCCCAGACUCCUGGGAAGCCACUUGGCAAGAGAGCCCAAGAAGAGAAAAGAAGAGAAAGCUCAUGGAUGUACUUGAGAGCGGAUGGCAGGUGACCAGCAUAGCCAUGACAGACAGGCACUGGGUUAGGAGCCACUGGGAGGUGCCUGUCAGUGCUGUUAUUGUAUCUCUGGAGAUCCGAAGGGGACCAGAGGGAUCAGAGGGGUGCAUUAAGUUGCCCAAAGGCACACCAGGGCAGAGCCAGAAUUUGAACGUGGGACUGUCCGGCUCUCGGUUCUUCAGUACCAUGCUGAGGAUAGGAUUGGCCUUAUGAGGACAGAGGGUUUCUGGGGAUGCUUGGGCAGAAGCGCACAGAGUCAAGAAGACGUGCAGGUGCAGGGUUAUUAGGUGGGAGGAGGGCCCACAGAUGGGCCAGAGUUGGGAGGACAGUGGAAAGGCUGGGGUGAUGGGGUGAUGUCUGCCCUACUCUGCUUGGAUUCGAGCAUCAGAAUUCUACGAGCAGCCACAGGAAAAAUGAGAAAGCCAUUUGGCCAUGAUUUGGGGGUUGGGGGAAGAAAGAGAGGGAAACUCCAGGUCAUGCCAAGAUUUCAAGCAGGGGGACAGCUCUUUGGUGCAGCUGCAGGCAGAGCGCUUGCUGCAGUGCUGUCCGCUGGGCAGCCGGCUCCAUUCUGGGAAGACAAAGGCCCCGGCAACCCCAGAGCUUUGAGCACACGCAUCUUUUCCGGACUCAGUUGGAUCUCCCCGUGAGCAGCACGGUGCGGAGGUUUGGAAUGGAUAUUUGUGUUGCAACAGUGUUUUCCACGUGGUUGCCUAAAUUAAAUGAUGAGUCUGCAUAAUGUGCUGGGAGGAUUUGAACUCAGAUGGUGAGUCCAUGUUUACUGCAAUGCUGACUAAUUCUUGCACUGCAUCAGGGGAUGGGCUCAGAGUCAUUGAACGUGUUUUUAAAGUUCACAAACAGGUUACCCAAGUACUCACUGCACGGGGUGCAAUCUAUGAAAGGCUUUGUGCUCUUCCUGUGUUCUCUAGAGUGAUGACUCCAAGAUGGUGCCACCAGGAGGUCAAAGCUCCUUUUCUGAGCCCUCCUCCCUGGCAGCUCCUUCUGAAAGGAAGGAGAAGCAUUUUAACCCGUGGCAGCAUCUCAGCCACCAAGCCCCCUGCCCUCCACUGCACCCCGAGAGUGGGGCUUUGAAAACACCCAGUCCUGUGUAAGAGAUCUUUAAAGUGGAUGAAGGACACGCUGCCUUCAAAACGCCCACCUGGAUAAAUAGAAAACUUCUGAAAGCAAGUGUUAACAAUUGAAAGAACAGGGGAAAUUGAAAUGGUACCUUGGCCCCAUGCAUCUUACCAUCCCCAGCCGUACUUCGGAAGUUUCCUUCUGUGGAGGGCAUAGAGCAACGUGGUUCUUCAUCGGGACUGAGUAAAGAGCAUCCGCUUUGAGUCUGAAAAGCUCAGUCUAGCAGCUCCUUUCAUUGGACAGUUUGGCCCAAGGAGCAUUUUAUGAAUUACACUCAUCACAAUAACAUGCCCAGGAAUCUGCUUCUGUGCUUGGAGAAUACUCCCGCUUUAUAAAUGGCCCACUUUAUUUAGCCCAGUGUACACACGCAUGACUGAAUGCUCCCCUGGGAGUGAGGUGGGUGAGAUUGGGGAGGAGGAGGAGGGGGAAGCGAGCAGUCGGUCCAUGUACUGGAAAACGGCGGCCACGAAAUCUGCUGGUGGCCUGGACCUCAUGGUCUAGGACGACGGGACCCGGAGGCCUUGCUCUGACAGAAGCGGCUCUGCCCUAAUGGGUCCUGGGCCCGUGGUCUGCCUGUGGUAGCCACGUGGACAAGUGUUGGUUGCAUGGCUCCUCAGUGCCACCUUCUGCGGAGGUGCUGGGACUCACCAGGAGGUGGCUCUUGUCCCAGAGGACUGCAGAGUCCUACAGUAAACGAAGGAUCAUGGGGCCGGUGGCAGGGUGAGGGUGAGGACACAGGGCGAUCCUUACCUUGGGGGUGGGAUGAGUGGGGGCGGUUGGUGGCCGGUGCUCACUCUUUGGCUGCUGCUUCUGUAUUUGUACAUGGUAACUUCUAAGUGAACUGUGAGUUUGGGGGAAGAAAUUCCCACAGAGCCUCUUUCUCUCAUCUCUUUUCUCUCUCCUCUCUCCCCAUUUUUCCUGUCUCCCUGUGGCGUGAAACCAUGAGCAGUGGUCAUCUUUUCAAAGUUAGUCCAUAGAAUUGGGACCAAGUCCAUCACAGCAAGGCCAGGGCUUCAGAGAAAGUGGACUGAGUCUGGAGAAACACUGAAAUCUGAUUGUCAGGUUCCAGAGACAGGCAUGGUCAGGGCACAGAGCUGGUCGUGGACCAGGUUUGGCUGGUGAGUGAGGACCGUGGAGGUCCAGGAGGACUGCAGGGGUGGAGGGGAGCAGAAGCAGGGAAGAGACCACCCCCAGCAAGAGCUCGUGGACACAGAGGUGACCUCCUGACCCAGUGGGCGGCCUCAUAUGCUCUUGCUGUUGGGCAGAGAGCUGUCUGGGAACCAAGGUCGCCCGGGAGCUGCAGGUGGGCACUGGGCAGGGGGUGAGCUCGGUGAGGAGGUUACGGCAGCAGCGAGGGCAGGUCUGGCACUCGUCUGGAUUUAGUCUGAGCCUUUUUCUGUUUUGCUUAGUUUAUUUCCUGGAGCAUGGACCCAAAGAAGUCCUCCUGACUUCUGAGGGAACUCUGCUUUGGAGUAACUUCUGAGCGAGCUCUGCCCGUCAAGAAGCAACAUCUCGUCGGGACGCUGAGUCCAGGCUGGCUUUCACCUCAGCUUCCUUCAGCUGAUUUUCCUUCCUUGUUCUUCUUUUUUAAAGAGGAGAUGCUGUUUGUUCUGUCAUAUGGAACUGUGAUUACUCACCAAGGAAGGAUGCCCCCUCGAGGCUGUGGCAGGAGCAGGGGAAAUUCCUCUCAACACUGGCCCCGAGGAAUUCUCGUGAUCCUGGUUUCCGUUUUGGUCAAAACUGAGAUGAAAGGACUCGACCCUGCAUUGGGGGGAACUAGAAUUUUGACCCUGAGGGAGGCAGAGCUGGAUGAAAAACGAGCCCUUCUCUGUUCUGUGAACGAGGAGGCACAUCCUGCUGUAAGUUGGACAACUGUUGUGUGUCAGACUUCUGGCUUGGAGCCCGUCCCUAAAUCUUAGCCUCGGGAGGGGAGGAGAAGCAACUGUGGAGAAGGGGCUGAUCUUUUCCCCAUCAAAGUGUUAGAUGACACUCUCCGAUGUCAGCUUAGUCUGCUUGGGCUGCUGUAACAAAAUACCACCGAGUGGGGGCUUAGGAACGACACAUAACUUACUUCUCACAGUUCUGGAAGCUGCAGGUCUGAGACCAGGGUGGCAGCAGCUUCAGUGAGGACGCUCUUCUUGGUCACAGACCUCUCUCUGUGCCCUCACACGGAGGAGGGGCUGUGGGCCCUGUGUGGCCUCUUUUAUACAGACACUAAUCCCACCAUGAGGCCAUUGCUCUCGCGACCUCAUCACCUCCCAAAGGCCUCACCUGCCAACACAAUCACCUUUGAGGGUUAGGGUUUCAGCACGAAUUUUGGGGCAACACAAAUAUUCAGACCAUAGCAUCUACCUGCAUUUUGACUUUGUGUGUUUGUAAUAGUUAUUAGAAAUGCAAUUAGAAAUAGCAGGUUUCCUAGAGAAAGUUUCCAGUUGGUAAAAAUGGGACAACUUAUCUUGGAUGAUGACGGAAAUUUCUAGUUGAAGGAUUUUUUUUACAUCUCCUUACUUCCAGCCACUCUGAUAUAUGUAACUCUGUGAACUUCAUUACUUCUAGAUUUGGUAUUCUCUAAAAAAUUAAAAAAAGAAAUUAAAUUACGCACAUGAAAUCGACCGUAUUAACCAUUUCUAAGUGUGCAGCUCAGUAGUGUUAAGUAUAUUCACAUCGUUGUGCAACCAGUUUCCAGAAUUCUUACUUCUUGCAAAACGGAAACUCCCCAUUCCCCCCUCCCCCAGCCCCUGGCAGACACCCUUCUACUUUCUGUCCCCGUGAAGCUGAUGACUCCAGGAGCCUCACGUAGGCGGCAUCGUACUGUGGUUGUCUUUCUGUGACUGGUUUAUUUCACUGAGCAUAAUGUCCUCAAAGAUUUGGUAUUCUUUUAUUUCAUCUUUAAAAUAAUAUUUCCACUUAACAUCAGAGGGAUAGCCCAUUCAAACUUUGGAAAGGUCAUCGAUAGAAUGUGAAAAAUAUUCUCUAAGCCUGGACAUUUUAAAGGCAUGUAUGUAUCUGGAAAACAGCAUGCUGCUAACAGCAGAGUGGGACAUCUCGGAGGUGAAAGUCACAUGGGCUGACGCCUCCCUGGUGAAGGCAGAGGGGCCGUGUUAAGUGGUGCCAGCCGGAGACCUCGUGUGCAGCAGGGAGCUGAGCCUGCAGGCCUGGGACCAGGGGCAGGGGCGCUCUGCAGAUGUGCCUGCUUGUGGUAGGUGCCCGUGGUCACACUGCUCCCCUGGGGCUGCUGCAACAACUGCCAGCGGAGUGGGUCUGGCAGCCGCGCCAGAGGGGGACAUCUGCCUGGGCUCUCGCCGGAAUGGGAGGACAGGGGGCAGCUGCAGAGAAGCAGAGACGAGGGCAGGAGCGGAGGAGAUGGAAGGCACGCCCUCGACCUCCAUCUCUGCCUCCCGCCCCAACACAGGCCCGCGGUUUGGUCAGGGAAUUCCGAGGAAGCUGUUCCAGUCCUAAGCAGCUGUCCAGCCGAGUCGCACAAAUGCCAGAACCAGGGGGACGGGAGGGGGACACCAGGCCGUUCGUCUCCCAGGCGGGGCCUUUAGACUCUUCUUGGAGUUUCCUUAGGUCUCGGCAGUCAAGCAAAUAAUCUCUAAGCACCGUGACAUCAUCUUUUUCAAAGAAAUGCAGUUUGCUACUGGCAAUAACACAGAUUUCCCACCCACAAGAGCCCAUGUGUUUUCUCACUAUUUAUCAGAACUUUACACUCUGAUGAGUGAUGGAAUACAGUGGCCAUUUGUUACUGCUGUGGCAUUGUUUGCUGUCAGGAAUGACACUGGAACAAAGAGGUAAUCAGUUAAACGAUUGCAUUCAAAAUUUAUUCUCUCUGGAGGGAGUAUACACACACUCACAUAGCAAUAGGGUUAAUGUGUGCAGCCUUUAUAAAUGAUCUGUGUAGUAAUUUUCACUUUAAAAUACCGUGUUCCCAUCCGUCGUCUCAUUCGGGUGUCACGAGAAUGCUUAUAGGGUUGCUGCAGUUGGCAAGAAUGAGACUUAGAGGAGAAAUGCUUGUCCGUGGCCGUAUAGGAGGUCCACUGGGGCUGCAAUAUAGGCCUCCCGACUCUUAAACCAGAGCUUUUCCCUCUAAACUGUACUUGAGAAGAAGAAUGUGUCAGAACCAGAGCAAGAGAUAGACUGUUUCUCCUCCUGACUGGCAGGGCUUCUCCCACGUCCAGCCCGAGCAAUCCUGAGGUGUCCAAUUAGCGAUGACUUGAAAAUCAAGGGGAUGUAACUGUGAGGUUGAACUGUGCAAAACUUCCAUUUUUAAACAGGUUAAAGUAUUCAAGUAUCAACAAUUUCAUGUUUCAAAUGAAUCGGUCUCCCUAGAUUUGCAUAGGUUGCAUUUCCCAUGCAGCAUCAAAUUGGUCAUUUUGUUGGUUAAUUUGGCCCGUUGCUUUCCUCUCCAUUUUGCUGCCCCUUGAUCCGCUCUGCAGUGGCAGCAGAGCAUUAUUUUCGUGGCCUCCAUGACCAAAUGGAGCCAGCCACAGAGGCAGCAGGCCAAACUGUGCAGUUAAACCCAAACCAGGCGAUUCAGGGUCAUGUAAAUAUGACUCACGAAUGACCAGCCCGCAGGAAGUUUCAACAGGUCUAACUGGCUCCUUGUUCCUGCACAUUUUACCUGUAAAGGGAACUAAAUUGGUACUCUUUUCCAUUCAUCUGGCAUAUUUGAUGCAUGUGUUCUGGUGAGUGGGAGACAGCUGAUUUCCAAGGCUGUUGCAGAGGGAUGAUUAGAAAAGCAGGAGGGUAUCUUGGCCAAAUGUCAAGAAUGAAGGAAGGGGCAGUGAGUCAAGUGGCUAAAGAGACACACAUUAGAGUCAUUCAUUCUUAACCGCUUGGCAGAAGCUGGAACCUCGCACCGCUGGCCAGGCUUCCCACCAUCUGGAGCGAAAUCAGGACACUCCCACCAGGGCUAGAAGGGCUCCAAGUGGGGGCAGCUGACAGAAGGGCCACGGCCGCAUGGCAGGAACACAGACAGAGGAGGACAGUGCUUUCUGCAUUUUCUUUUCUGGUUAUGAGAUGCUUUUGUGAACUGCUGGAGACUGGUCACAGAGUGAUUAAGCUGGACAGCUUCUGGCGCUGCUGCCCUGGAGGCGCAGUGUUUUGAAGGUGCUGCACCCCAGAUUUCUCAGGGUCCCUUUUCUGGCAAUAAAGACUUCAUUUCUCUUGGUACUCCACAUGGUCAGAGCCCAGGCUGAAGAACCCUGAUUCCCACGGCAAAAUUACAGACCCAGCGAGCUAGAGUUAGAAAGAUAGGGCCCGGGCAGCGUCCACAAGCCCAGUUCCAACGUUGCAGAGCCUGCUGGAGGGAAGCAAAGACUUCCAUAAGCCAAGGGAUAGAGGCAUGCAGGAGGUCAGCUCUCCGGGGAAAAUGCACGACGACUCUGAUUUGUAACAUCUGCUGAUUGCCGUGGUGUCAAAAUACUCCCACUGUGACCAGUUUCAAACCACCAAUAGUUUAACAACCGGCUUGCAAAAUUUCUGGAUGUUUGAUAAUCUUUCCCCAGCCUGGACAGCUUGAACGCAGCAUGACUUGGUGGCAUAAAAACUAGAGUCGGGCAAAUGCACGAGCUGAGGUUUAACACGAGGGGUCCUGGCGUGGAAGCGUCUCAGGGCCGACUGUCCCCUCCGUCUCCUGCUUCCCUCCCUUCCUCCUAAGCUUGCUCCCUGGACCAGUCGCUGCUCGGGACAAGGGUUCUGGUCUCAGGCUCUGACCUUUAACACUGUGCCCGCCCAGUCACAUCCCGAAGCACCCAAAGCCCCACGACUUCCUAGAUGAGCUCACACAGGUGCUGGGCUCUCAACCGCUCUCCCUGUACCCAAGCCAAGGGCCUACCUGCCAGGAGGCUGCUGCAAGCCUCCUGUUGGGACACUGGUGAGGGGGUCCCAUAGCUGGAGCAUGGGUGGUCUCAGAUGCCUCCCCUAGUGGUCCCUAUGUGGAGUUUAAAAUGGCACCUCCAUGAGUAAAAAUUCAGUUAACUUGUUAGGAAGGUAGAACCCAGCUUUUUAUGUAGGAUGGGUUUAUUCAGAAAGAAAUUCCCAUGACUCCCAACUGAAAGAAUUCAGAAUUUAAUGAUAAAUCUAUCUUCCAAUUAUGCACACUAGGGCUGUGUCAUCUGCAUUUCGGCAAACACAUUUUUAGCUAAGCCUCAGGUUCCUUAUUUGUGAAACUGAGUGGCCAUAGUGAACUGACCUGUAAGGCAUCUGUCUGUUCUAUGCUUCUGGGAUUCUACUUACGGUCAGUGCACGUUUCUCUACACUUCUCUAUAUGGUUUUUGGUCCUUUAUAAAUUUUAUCGUUGUUUUUUUCUGCUCCUGGGACAUCUGGUAUUCCACUAAACAUCAUUAUUUAGCUGUGCCACAAAUAACUGUUUUUUGGCUAAAUGAACUCGGAGGGCAUUCUAGGUUAAACCAGUACUUUGCUGAGCAUCUUCCUCAGAAUCUCUGAUAUUCUAGGGUGCAUUGUGUAACUCCAAAAGGGAAACUUAAUGCUCAUGGAGUCCCAGACUUUUUGAUCUCAAAUGGUUUUUUUCUAAGGACAGUGUAUCAAUCUUCCAGGGCUGCUGUAUCAAAAUGCCACAAAUUGGGUGGCUUAAACAACAGAAAUUAUUUUUUUUUCAUGGUUUUAGAGGCCGGAAGUUCAAAAUCGAGGUAUUGGCAGGGCUGUGUACUCCCCGAGGGGUGAGUCUGUUCCAUGCCUUUUCUUCAGCUCCUGGUCUUGCCCGCAGCCCUUGGUGUUCCACAGCUUGUAGAUGCAUCGCUCCAGUCUCUGCUCUGUCACACGUGCGAUCUCUCUUUGUGUCUCUGCAUCUUUCCUCUCCCAGGAAGGCUGCACAGACACCAGUCACACUGCAUUAGGACCACCCUACUUGAAUACGACCUCAUCUUAACCUGAUCACAUCUGCAAAGGCCCCUUUUCCAAAGAAGGUCACAGUCACAGGUACCAGGGGUACAGAUGUCAACAUACCUUUCGCGGGACGCAAUUCAACCCGCAACAGCCAGCCAUUAAAAUUUCCUAAAACUGGUGGUCCAGCAAACACAUUUUGGGAAAUGCUGUCCCAGGAGCUUGUAAUUAGGAUUCACUCACCAGGUAUGUGGUCCAACCCUUAGGUCAAGAGUUCUUAACGUGAUAUCAAGGGGUUUGUGCCCUUGGAUGAGAAAAAAAUUGUAUCUUUAUUUGUACUAUUUCUGAUUGAAAUUUAGCAUUUCCUUCAUUUUUCAGUGUAGGCAACAAAGCAAAGUAAUAUCACUAGUACUGUGACUUUGUCAGAGUUUUCCACCUCAUACUACAGUUAUUGCAGGUCUCUUGGGACAUCAUUCAUAAAUCAUCACCAUCUCAAAAUCACAGUGGGUGUGAGACUCGGCACUAGAUCUUAUUUAAUGGGUUAACAAGCAAACACAUAAUGCAGAUCUGUUUUAGUAUUUUGAUAACUGUAUUUCAACCUCAUCAGUUUCCUUUGUAAUCCUUUAUAUUUUCUUUUAUACACUUAAAAACACUAUUCUGAGCAGACUGUAGGCUUCACCAUUCAGCCAAAGUCCACCCUGACCCAAAAAAGUUAAGAGCCUCUGUCCCCACUCAUGGCCCCCAUGACUGAUACAACCCAGCUUCCGUAGAAGGGUUUAGCUGAGAGACAAAACACUAGCAGAAUCUUUCCAUUUUUACAAAUAAAGAAUUAAUACAUAAGCCAAACACAAAUAUUAUAAAAUACUUUAUUUGUAAAUGAAAUACCCAAUUGGGGCAAAAUGUAAAAAUGAAAUAGACAUAGGUACAAUAAGUUAUACAAGAAUCUUCAAUUAUCGUCGCUCUGUAUUGAUUAUAAAUAGAUCACAUUACCAAGGAAAGCAUUGUCUAGGUGUUGGGAUAAUUUAGUUAAAAGUAUCUGAAUAACUUACUAGACACAUUCCUCUUGGUGUGUGAACAAAUGUAUCAAAUAAUUGAACAUACUCAACUAUACUCCCUGUGAAAACUGCAAAGUCCUGGUCAGACGAGGCUAAACCUCUGAGCUGCAUGAAUGAGCUUGGUCACAUUGUGGUCCAGUCUUGGAAGGAUCACUGACACAUAACCCCUGGAGCACUUUGGCCUCGGUGAAAGCACCAGAGCGUCGAGAGGCUGAAUUCCAGCUGGGCUCUGCCCCUGAACAUUUAAGGAACUAAGCACGUCGUCUGAUUCUGAGCCUGUUUCCUCAUCUGUGAAAAAUGGGGAUGCUGAUGUGUGUCCUUUCUGUCUCCCAGGGCAACUAGUAGAUUUGAUUGAGAUAACCGAUGUAAAAGUUCUUCGUAUGUAGAAGUGCUGUAUGAGGAUGAGACAUAGAACUAUUCUUUCAUUCUUUAAUGUGCCAACAUCCAAAUGGGCAUAAAUUGAUGGCAUUCUCUUGUAUAUAAGGAGAAAAUUAAUAUAUAUGUAUUUUUUUCAUGGACACUCAAAUGCCAGUGUCCCCCCCCCCGCCAUCAUUAAGUGCCUGGAAAGGCAUUGGAGGUCCCAGCAAGGCUGCAGGGAAGUGGGCCUGGGUGCUCCUGGGCUUCCGUUUGCCACCUCCUUCCCCUCAAGGUCCCCCCCCCACCUAUCUCCUUUCUGCCAAGCCCUCCCUUAUGUACUCCCCGCGCCCCAGCCUGUGCUUCCCACCUUCCUGUCCUUCAGAAUGUUCCAUCUUGCAGUUUGUUCCCACGGGGCAGUGGUCCUCACUGUUGGCUGGACGUUAGAACUAUCUGGGGAGGCUUUUCUCUGUCCUGAUGGGGGGACCCCCACCCAGAUGACUACAUCAGGGUCUCUGAGGGAGGGCCUGGCGUCAGUAUUUUAAGGCGCCCCCGGUGCAAGUGCCACCCGGGUGUUGCCUGGAGGUUGAUCGGAAAAUUGGAGUCCCUGUUCACCUGCAGCCAGCUAUCCCUCCCAGGGAGGCUUUGUUUAACUCAGGCCAAUCGUCUUAAGUUUUCUUAAAGAAGGUUCCCCCAGCGCACCUCACUCCGGUUCCCACUGCUUCCGUCCACCCUCAUGACAUUCUCCGGGAGCGUUAUCCUCAUUCCAAUCCAUCCCCCUAGGGAGACUCAACCACUUAAACGUGGUUUAAGCCGAAGCCAUGCACUUCCUUCCCAGAGCAUCGAGGUGCCUUUCUGAGGAACAGGGCCUCCUGCUGAGAUGGGCAGCUGCCCCAAGCCCUGCAUCCGGGCUCACCUGGAUGCCUCGCCUGCGCCUCUGUGUUCCGCUGCAUCAGGGAGAGGAUUUCGGAGAGGAGCUGUGGCUUCUGCUCCCUUUACACUUUCUCGCGGCCAGUUCUCUCCUCCACUGCUUUGCACAUUCAUAGGGAGGGCUGAAGGCUGGAGCUGGGGGAACUGUUUCCAAGCAGGCAGGUGCACAGCCCUGCAGCCUGCAGGAACAUGCUCAGCCCAGGAGUGUUAGCUCUGCACCUGCAGUCUUGUGUCUUCCUCAACCUGGGCCCCUCAUCUAGGUGUUCCAGGGGUCUGCAUCCGCCCUGCUCGGGGCGCAGGCACGAUCCCAAGACGCUGUUGCUAUUGCCCCGUGGCAGGGUUCUGACCUCCUGAGUCCUAGGCGGCUGCCAUCACCAUGGGAUUUAAAGGCCAUAUAGAAAGGCCCCCCACUGGGUCCCUCUAGUCUUCCCAGGUCCCCGACACUCCCACCUUUGAGAGCUGCUCCUUUGCCAAAUCAUUGCAUCUCCAAGAGCCCUGGGUUGGAAGGUUUGCACCCUACGAGGACUCAUCCAUUCAUCUCUCAUCUGGUGUUGCCCCUUCCGGAGCCCCGAACUGAAGCAGGAAUGUGCUCUGAGGUCUGGACUCGCACUUGUGUGCUCUUGGGCAAAUCACUCGCCUUCCUGAGGAUCAGUGUUCUCAUCAAAGAAACAAAGAUUUUCAUAUUUUCCCCACAUAUUUCUACAGGACUGUGGUUGAGAUCAUUGGAGAUAACAGACAAGAAAUGGAUUUUUCUACAGCAAAGCCCAUUUGACAACGUGUAAGACAGUUUCAUUACUGUUAUCGGAAAAAAAAUGUGUGGGUCUGCUUUGUGCACUGCAGCUCGCUGACGGCGAGGGGCAGAGUUUGGAGGAAAAAGGUGCUGCAGUGGAAGCUCAUGAUGUCCUGAGGGUGAGCCCAGGGUCAUGGGAAUCUGGGGAAGACAGCCUGAGUGGGGAGGAAAGAAAAUUAAUUGGGAAAUGCUGGCCAACUUCCCUUAUUCCACAUUGUGCCAGGAGCCAGCUCAGCCACCACUGGGAUAGGUGAUGAAGAAGCAGCAAGCCCUCCGCUAGCUCCCAUGUGCGUAUUUCAGACUCAGCAGGAGGGUGGGCCACUGACAAGAAUAAUACAGACCAGCAGGCAGGGCAGGAGACACCCGAAAGGAAAACAAGGAAACAGGUUUGAGCUGGGCCUGGCCUCCUUGGCGUGGACUGCCUGACUGGCACCAGGCUUCUAGGGUGGCCCUGGGUGUGGUGCUUGAUGGGGCCAGUAGAGCAUCCACCAGGCUCAGCACCCAGGCCUUGGGGAAGCUCACUUGUGCAGGGGGGUAGGACCUUAGCCUUGCAACCAGGCUGGGUGAGGCAGGCUCAGUGCAGAGCACUUCCUUCUUUGGGGGUCAUGUGUCCCUUGUGAUUAGAGAGAUUGGGGCACCUGCUUCUUCAGGACCACCUUGUGUGGUCCAGGCUCUGCCCUGUCUUCCCAAGAGACUGUGCCUGUAGGCAAGUCACAUCACCUCUCCAGGCUGUCCUGUUCAUUUCUGUAAGGCGAGGAGAGUGGCCAGUAUGACCUCCAGGACCCUUCCAGCUCGGCAUCAGGUUGCCCUAUGAUCCAAGCCUAGUUUCUAAGGAACCCGAGAAACAAUAUGGCGUAUAUGACUGGAGCCCAUGGAUUGAGUGUUUAAAUUUUUUCUGAAAUUAUAAGAUCUUUCACAUUAAAACCAAUACUGAAGUAUGGCAUGCCUCAAAAAAUUAAACAUAGAAUUAUCAUAUGAUCCAGAAAUUCCACUUCUGGGUAUACACCCUUAAGAAUUGUAAGCAGAGAUUCAUACAGUUGCACACCAAUGUCCACAGCAGUAUUAUUCACAACAGCCAAAAAAGGUGGAAACAACCCAAAUGUCCAGUGAAGGAUGAAUGGAAACAAAAAGUGAUACAUAUACACAAUGGGAUGUUAUUCAGUAUGAAGAAGGAAGGGAUUCUGACACGUUCUACAAUCUUGAGGACAUUAUGCUCAGUGAAGUAAGCCAGCCACAAAAGGAUAAAUACUGUAUGUGUACCUAUAUGAGGUACUUAGAAUAGGCAAAUUCAUAGAGACAGGCAGUCGAAUGCUGGUUACUAGGAUCUGAGGGAGAAGAAAGUGGGGAGUUAGUGUUCAGUGGGUGCAGAGUGUCAGUUUGGGAAGAUGGAAAGUUCUGGAGAGGAUGUAGGUGGGGGCUGUACAACACUGUGAGUGCACUUUACACCCCUGAAAUGGACACGUAAAAUGGUUAAUUUUAUGUAUAUUUCAUCAGAAUAAAACAAAUACUGGAAUAUUUAUGCAUGUUAAUGGUUUUAAUUUGGUAUACAAAAUAAUGGUAAUGAAGCAUAAUUCCUGCUGGUUUGUGGCCCUCUUGCUGAUAUGAAGAAUGAAACCAGUCACUGAAUAAUUAACUUAAAAAAUCAGUUAAAGUGGGGAAUUACUAAAAAUGAUGCUCCUGUACUAUAUUGUAAUUUAACUCAAAAUUUCUAAAUGUACAUUUAAUCAUCAGUUUUGGGGUCUUUUUCUUUGGGUGUAGGUUUGCUGAGUGGAGUUCAGCAUGGUCUCCCUUGCACAAACCACACCCAAGGUAUAUCAUUUACAGAUUCUAGUUUCAGAGUGUUUGCAGUGGAAUGAGGUCUUAGAGACACUUGUGAAUAAAAAUGAAGGCAGAGUUCUCCUAGAUUCUUAUGACCCUUCUCCAUCGCCAGUGCUUUUAUAAUUGUAUCAGCUCACCUAAUUCCACAUCUCUAUGUCUGUAUAACUCUCUGUCCAUAUAAACAUAUUUAAAUAGCUAGUCUUUAUGAAGCUUUCUCAAGGCAUUCAAUGCAUUGUGUUCUGGAACAACCAGGCUGCACAGCCUUAGGAACACACACCAUUCCUAGUUUGCAAGCAUAAAGCCCAAUGGGAGAAAGCAGAAGUGCACACUUCAUCAUAAGACAAGUGAAAAGAUAAGCCGUAAUGCGGGAAAAGAUACUUGUGACACAAAAACUGACAAAGGAGUAGGAUGUCAACCACAUAAAGAACUUAACCAAAUCCAUAAAAAGAAAUAACCCAGUAGGAAAAUGAGCUUAACACUUGGACAGGCAUGAAACCAAAGAGGAAAGCCAAAUGGACGCUACUCAGAAAAGAGGUUCAACUUCAUUAGUAAUCAGGGAAAUGCAAACUGAAACCCCAACGAGGUAACACUACAUAUGAGACAGGCAAAAACUAGGAAUGCUGAAAAUACUAACUGUCGGCAAGUAUUUGGGGCAGCAGAAACUCUGGGGAAAGUUGUAACCUGCUAAUAACCUCUUUGGGAAGCAGCUUGUGUUGUCUAUGGAGAUUGAAGACACACACACCCUGUGGUCCCGCACGUCCACUCUCAGGUCGAUUCCUGGAGAAACCCAGGCAGAGGUGCACCAGAGUGUACAUACGGCAGGAGUGCUCAUGGCAGCCUGGCUCACUCAGCUCAACCCAAACCACUCAACACCUGUAGGAUAGGUACAUAAAUUCUAAUACGGUCGAACAAUGAAAUACUAUGUAACAAUGAAAAUGGACAAACUUUACACAAAACAACAGGAGUAAAUCUUCAGGGCAUAGUAUCAAGCAAUAGGAGCAAGACAGAGAAUACCUUGCGAUCACAUUUAUUUCAGGUUGAAAAGCAGGCAAAGCUAAGCUCUGGUGUAUCAUUUGGCGAUGUAUAUACAUAGAUGGUUACCUCUGGGGGUGUUGUGGGCUGAAUGUUGCAGUUUGAACCUCCCAUGUGAUGGUAUUGGGGGAUGGGGCCUUUGGGAGGUGAUGUUUAGACAGGUCAUGAGGCCAUGUGGAGCCAUCGUGAUGGGCUUAUAAGAGGAGACCAGAGAGCUUGCUUCCUCUUCCUCUCUCUGCCAUGUGAGGCCACAGCGAGAAGGCAGCCGUCUGCAAGCCAGGAAUGGAUUCUCACCUGAACCAGACCCUGCUGACACCCUGAUCUUGGCCUCCCAGCCUCCAGAACUGUGAGAAAUAAAUGUCUGUUGUUUAAGCCACCCAGUCUGUGUGGUAUUUUAGCAGCCCAGGCAGACUAAUACAGGGGCGUUGGGUGUGUUUUCAGUUGGGAGGGACAUAAGGGGGGCUUCCAGGUAUUGGCAGUGAGGCCCCAAGGAGGGUUACACAAGAGUGUACUCUCUGAUUAUUCAUUAAACUCCAUGUGUAUGUUCUAUUUAUGUAAAGGUAUGUAAAUUUCAAAGCAAUCAUUCACACUAAGAAUGAAUAAAGGAGUAUGUGGGUGUGCCAGCAAGUAGCUUCCUUGAUGCCUGGCUUCUUUUUUUUAAAAAAUAUUUUGUGACACUAUGUUUAUUUUUUAUUUUUUAAUUUUUUUGCGGUACACGGGCCUCUCACUGCUGUGGCCUCUCCCGUUGUGGAGCACAGGCUCCGGACGCGCAGGCUCAGCGGCCAUGGCUCACGGGCCCAGCUGCUCCGUGGCAUGUGGGGUCUUCCCGGACCGGGGCACGAACCCGUGUCCCCUGCAUCGGCAGGUGGACUCCCAACCACUGCGCCACCAGGGAAGCCCUAUAUUUUUAAUUUUUAUUUUAUUUUAAUGUGGACCAUUUUUAAAGUCUUUAUUGAAUUUGUUACACUAUUGCUUCUGUUUUAUGUUUUGAUUUUUUGGCCAUGAGGCAUGUGGGAUCUUAGCUCCCCGACCAGGGAUCGAACCUGCACCCCCUGCAUUGGAAGGUGAAGUCUUAACCACUGGACCGGAUGCCUGGCUUCUUGAUUGUGGCAUGUCUUAUGAGGGGACAGGGGGCCGUGGUUAAUCCAGGAACCCGAUCAGGUGGAGCUGUGGUGGAGGAGGUGAGGGGGUGUCUGAGAAAACAUGAUAAAAAGGAAAUACUGAUACAUUCAGGUUGAGAAUAGAGGUUCUGAGGAGUUAUAAUAUUUUAUUUUUCAUUUUACAUUAUUACAUAACCCACAAUAUGACAAAUGAAAUGCAUUUUACUCUUUUUGGUGACAGUUCCGUUGAGUUCCUUCUCUGGCCCAGUCUUCGUAUCUGGGAGAAAAUGAGCAUUUUCUGGGUAUUUGUAGGUAUAAUCUGGAUAAAGGCAGAAAAAGGAAUUGUUUUCAGAAGUAUUAUGACAAUAUAUAAAGCAUAGUAAAGGGAUGUAAUCUCAGAAAAUAUUCAAAGCCUACCUCUACUUCCAAAGUGACCCUGUGGAACUUUGGCAGGAUCCCACAGAAGCCUGGGCUUCUUGCAGUGGAGCUUGAAAACCCUGCUGUAGGAAGGAGGGACCCAGCCCUGGGCGUGUGGGGGAGAAAGGAAAGCUGAGUAAUUCCUAACUCUAAGGGCAUAUUCUUCCCAACUGCAUCAUAGCUUUGCUACAUCUCGGAGCUGUUGGCCUGUGGGUCUGAUAACUGAGGUACUGAGAGAAGAGGACCUGCCCUCCUCUACUCCCUUCCCUUGUCACCCAGUGUCACCACUGUCUCAUUUCAUUUGUGUUCAGUAUGUGUUUGUUGAAUUAAAUUCUUGAAAGCAUCCAAACGGAACUCAAAGAGCUUUGGGGAUUCAGAGGGGUGAGACUUUCUAAGGGGUUAUUUCUGCUUGGGAAAUGGGGCGAGACUUCAUGAGAGGGAAGGAUACUGAGCUGAGCUUUGAAGAAUGAAGAGGGGCUGUAGACAAGGUUGGAUUUGAGAGAGGAGGUUGAAAAGGCACAAGGCAACAAGGACAAAGCAUGCUUGGAGAUCGCGGUGGUACUUGUUUGGCCGAGCCUGUGGGAAAUAAAGGGAGAGAGUUAAGCAGAGGUGGAAGUGAGGCGAUUCCUGCAUGCUAGAGCCAGAGACGGUCACCGGCAAUGCGGACGACGAGUGAUUUGGAACAGAGGUGUGCCUGGGCCAAAGGGCAGUCUGGUGGCAGCACAUAGGCUGGCUUGGACAAAUGAUUGGCUGAAGCCAAGGGAAUGGGUUGGGGGGGCUGGUACAGGAGGUCUGGGCAGGAGGUGAGGAGGGCCAGACAGACAGGGCUGGUAGAGCACAUGGGAAGUAAGGAGCAGCUAAUGCUCAAAGAAAGAAAAACAGGUAUAAUAUUAGUUACAGAUGGGCUGAGGGGUGCAGCUGGAGAGAGAUGGCUGAGGUUUGUAAGACCAGUGACAAGGAGUAAGAGGGUGCCAUGAGUGGAAAAAGAAGCUGGUGUGUGUGAGCACAUAAUGAGCUGUAUUUUUUGCUGGAUUUGAGGUGCUGUGGGGACAUCUAAGUGGAAACAUCCCACAGCUGGAAAUUUGGAACUGGAAGCCAGGAAAGAAGUUGGAACUAGAGCAACAGAUUCAGGAGACAAGAGCCUGGAAGUGAGCCCUGGGUGUGCACUGGCCCCAGAGGGAAGCUGCGUGGAGCAAGAGAAGACAGGAUUUGGUGAAGAUAUGCAGAAGCCAUCUCUGAGAAGACUUACAAGGUACUAGAGAAUCAUGAAAUCUGAAAUGAAUCCUGAGGCGUGUGAUGUCAGAAAGAUGGCAGAAUAGGAAAUUUCUACUGUCAUCCCCUCACAGAAUGUUGAUUUGACAAUCACGCAUGGACAAAAGUACCUUUUUGGGAGUCCAGGAGUCCAGCGGAGAAGGUCCAACAGAAAAAUCUGAGCCUGGAUGCAUUGAAAAGGCGCCCAGAGGUUCAUUGUCUUCUGUGCAUCUGGACCCAACCAGCCAGGUGCGGGUUUUCUGCCUGCCACUGCUGCCAGAACAGCUCCAUCCCCCAUAAGAACAGGGCACCCCGGAGGCCCCCUCAGAAUGUCUGCUCUUGGAAGAAUCGUCUGCAGCUUUAUCCUGCAUCUCCUGUAACGCUCCAUCCUCUCCACACUUCUGCUCUCUUCACGACAUGCCAUGGAGCAAAGCAGGUCUCUGUGAAGAGUCUGGUCCUAUUAUUAUACGGAAGUAGUGGUGUGCUGGUGAAUGUUUAACAACCAGCUUUCCAGGAAAAAAAAAGCCCUCAUCUGCAGAGUUUGCCAGUUUCCAUGGUGUAAAUACUCCCACCACGUCGGUUCCAGGCUCCAGCCUCCAUCACUGAGCCGAGUUGCAAGAGAUACGGCUGGGGAGAGGAUGUGAGCCGGCUGAAGCAGGUCCCGGUCUAAGACCUCUUGCUGAGGGGACCCCAGGGGACAGAGCCCGCAAGCUGGGGACUGAGGGUCGUCGUGGAGCCGUUCAGAGGCAGGGCAGGUUCUCUGGAAACAGGCUCGGAGAUGGAAUGGGCAGGAGGCGGCGUUGGGCAGGGAGAGGAGGGAGAAGCCAACUGUUGUCCUCAGAGUUGUCCUGUGUCCUGUGUCCCAGGCUGAGACAGCUGGGCCGGGGCCAGCCUCAGGAUGGACCCCGAAGUUGCUGGCAGUGGGGCUUCUCUGCUGACAUGCUCCCCUUCUUCAAAGGGAGACCAGGCGGGGUGGGUGUCUGAGUCCUUCAAAGGGGACUCAGACACCACCCGUCGGAGCGUGAGCCCCUCAACGAGGCUGGGCUCGGCCUUCAGCUGGACCUCUGUCAGCCCGUGCCUGUCCGCAGACGAUCUCCUGGAGCAGCCUGCCCCUCAGCUGGGCCCCGCCUGUCCCCAUCCUCGGGCUCAGCCCCGCAGCCUCCUUCCUGAAUCCCACGCAGGUGCCACUCUGCUUGGCCUGCUGCUUGGCCAGGCCUGGACGUUCCCACUACAUCUUCCCCGGGCGUCCGACCGCAGCUGCUUCGGGGUUCUGGCCUCGCUCCUCAGUGCUGGCAGCUUGUGGUGAGGCUGUCCUGCUGGGCAGACAGGGCGGACCCUGGGCUUGGGCUCUGUGCGGGGGACUCGGGCCUGCUCUGUGCAUGGGUGGGGCAGGCGAAGGAAGCCACCCCACCUGUCCAAACCAGACUGAGGAGAAGAAGCAGAUUUGGCCCGACACCACGGGAGCCGGAGUGACCGCAGAGCUCUGUGGUUUACCCUGAUUUUCUUACAGGACACGGUGACAUGCAGGCAGUACUGACGUCCCAGAGUCCCACGGCUGGUUAGGGACAGAGCAGGGACCAGAGCUCGGCCCAGAGCCAUGUCUGUGCAUCCUGCUUCCUGAAGCCCGAGUGUCUCCUGAGCCGUAGUCCCCUUCCCUCCCCUAGACAGUGUGUGUGUUUAGAAAUGGCCUCGUUAGCAGAUUUUAUAGGCACCUUCGUUAGCUCCUCCGAGAGCUCGCCCCGUUCUGGCAGGUGGCCUGUUUGAGGAGGAAUUAGCCUGCCUGCCAGCUGGGUGUUGGAUUUACAUGCGAGCUGGGCCACGGGGAAAUCAUCUGGAAUAGCUAAGGGACUCACCAGACUCCUCAGGCUACAGGGCAGAUGCGCCGCGAGCAUGUUUUCUGCCUUACGGCGUGUCUGGGCCUCAGCCUGUGUCCUUGGGGAGGCAGCCCCUGCGGGGCCUCCAAGAAUUUUUCUUCUGGCCCAGGCCCCGUGGGUCUUGCCCCCCCGACUUGUACAGGCCCCAUGGGUCUCGCCCCCCGACUUGUAUUUGCCACUUCAUCCUCUUUUAGCAAAUAUUGUACCUAAAAGAAUGAAGUAAUUUGCAUAUAGUAUUUAGUUAUUUUUGAACUUUCUGGUUUUUCUCUGUGAUAGUUUAUUUUACAGAUAACACAUAUUUCUUAUCUUUCUAAUGUAUUCUUUUUGGUAAUUUUAAUCUAUUUAUUUAAGCGAUUUCCCCAUCAGUGAUGAGUAAGAGGUCCAGGCUCCAUGUGGGGAGGGGAAGGGAUGUCCAUCUGCUGCUGCAGACCAUGCCCUAAGCGGGAGGCUGUGGGAUUCUGGGCACCCCCAGCUGUGCCAGGCCCCUCAACUCUGCUUCAUUGAAUUCUCCUUCUCUUUUUUAGGCAAAUGCUUUGAUUCAAAAACAGCCAGCAGUGAUGGGUUGGCAAAGCCUCCUCAGCCUACACAUAGCGGGUACAAAACAGUUAAAUACCCCAACUGGGGAGUGGACGGGAGGUGCAGGGAGGUGUCAGAUGAGAAGUAUCAGUGAGUCGGGGAAGCCUGAGGAAUGGUAGGAAGUUGUUUUGUUGUCAGCGACAGCAACCAAACGGGAAGUUUCUUUCUUCCCACCAAAAUGCAAGAGUCAUAUAUCAACACCCACCCCCACUCCCAAAUCACAGGACAAAACGAAGCCUGUGAAUAGAGACGCCAUCUCCCAGCUAACAAGCCGCUGCGGUUGGACUGGCUGGACCGCGGAGGAGCCGGCCCCUGGAAGGGAGGAGAAGCGCUGUGCAUUUCAACAUCGUACAGGUCUUGCUUUCACCAGAACCUAGAAAGAUAGUUGAUGGAAACGCAGCACUUAAAAAUGCAGCUUUGAAGAAUGGCAGGCAAUGAAAUGAAAGGUACCCUGUGACUGCUGUUAAAAAUCCCUAUUCAGAGAAGCACCAGACAGUAGGAAAGGAGCGAUGUACCUGAGCCACACCAAGACAGAGGCGUUUACCCCAGCCAGGUCCAGUCUCCUAGUGAGGAGAAUUAACCGUUAGUAACAGAACUCUACUGUGUGUGAAUUGUAGCCUGAUACGUGAAGAAUUAUGCUUAAGUUAGCCCUUUAGUCAAUUGUAUGCUUUUCUCAUUCUUUCCUGUAUAGGUUCAAUCAUUCUUAGCGCUUUAUUUUGGGAAAGAGCCUGUAUUAGUCUGCUAGGGCUGCUGUAACAAAGACCAUAGCCUAGGGGCCUUAAACCACAGAAAUUUAUGUUCUCACAAUCUGGAGGCUGGAAGUCCAAGAUCAAGGUGUCACAGGGUGGUUUCUCCUGAGGCCUCUGACCUUGGCUGGGAGAUGCCACCUCCUCCCUGUGUCCUCACACGGUUGUCCCUCUGUGUGUCUGUGUCCUAAUCUCUUCUUCUUAUAAGGACACCAGUCUGAUUGGAUUAAGGCCCACCUAACUGAACUCUGACCUUUACAGAGGUAACCUAAUUACCUCUGUAAAGAUCCUGUUUCCUGCUAUGGUUAUGUUCUGAGGUGUUGGGGGUUAGGGCUUCAACACAUGAAUGUGGGGGAACAUAAUUCAACUCAUAAUAGGACAUUUCUGGACAUUGUUAAGAAUGGGUACCUGGUCUGGCUAUGCCCAAGUGACAAUUUCUGACAAAAUUCUGGAGUCCAGGCUGUGUAGAACAGAUAAGUUAAUGCCCCUUAAAGAAUACUGCCUUAUCAAAGCUUAUUCCUUUCCAAACCUAAAUCCAUUAACUUAGAUACACCAGAGGACACAAAGACCGAAGCUCCUCCCAAUUGGGUAAUGGGCUUAGUGAUGGUACAACAUGACUGUGCUUCUUACACCUCCCACUGUCCAGUCCUGCAAUGAGGAGAUGUAUGGUCCAAACCCACUGUCUCCAUUCUCUGACCUCAAAUUCAUGCUCGAUAUGAAUAUUUGUCAGAUUUAACUAUGACAUUCUCUGUGCAGAGGCUGGGUUUUCCACGCCUGAUCCUGUGAUCAGUGUCACGGCUGAUCCUGUGAAGGAGCUGGCACCUGGCGUUAGAGCUCCCGGGUGUGAUUGUGUCAUGGAAGUGAGGUUGCAGAUCUUGCUAGAAUGAUCUCCAAUAUCCAUUCUCUUCUUCUCAGUACUAACAGAAUCCAAUUUUAUUUGGGUUUAGUAGUAUGCCCACUUAUAAAAGCUACACCUCGGAUCCUCCCAUCCUAGGUAAGAAUGACGAUGUAAUAUAGUUAUGGCUAAUGAGGUAUAAAUGGAGGGUAUAAGGUGAGCUUCCGGUUUUCAGAAAAGCAGUUUAAAGGGAGCUAGCUACCUAAGGCAGUCUGCUCCUUUUGCUCUUUGCCCUUCAUCCUUCUUCCUGUCUAGAACACGGAUGUGAUGGCUGGAGUCCCAGCAGCCAUCUUAUAAGCAUGAGCGUGGAGAUAGUAGAGUGGAAAUCUAUACAGGACCUGGGUUCCUCAUGAAUUGGGGAACUAUUAUGCCAGCUCUCGCCCACCCUCCUCUGAUUUCUCCUCUUGAGAGAGAAAAAAAACAAGGCCCCAGGGCUGCUGGUAUCUGCAGUGGCUCCUCCUGGACCACAGUGUAAAGUGUCCUCCCUGGCGUAAGCCACCCAGUGGUCCUGUAAACCCUUACCUUGUUUAAGCCAGCAUUUUGGGGCUCUCUUCCCUACCACCAAAUGUUAUGGGUAACCAGUGCAGGUGGGUACAGUGAUUAGAAUCAUCCCCUUGUUCUCCCUGGAUGUGUACAGAGCAUCUUCUGAAAACCUCUGUGAAAUCCUCCUUUAGGUAUGAGUACUCCCAGAAAAAAGCUGAGGUUUACCUGGGUUCACACACACCUCCAUCACUGGUUAGCUGUGUGACCUCAGGUAAACUGCUUCACCUCUGAGCCUCACUUUGUCGAGUGCUCUCUCUCAGGAUCAUUGUGAGGACCAGGGAGAUAUGUACGUAAAACACCUGGCUCUGUCCUUGCACUCAGCAGAUGGCCCUCCUGUUGUGACGACAUCCCUUGUCCCCUCUAGAGGACGACUCACAUCCAGGUGUCCAGGUCUGACUUUUCCUUUGGGUGCUCUUCCUGUGUCUCUCUCUAGCUUCCUGCAGGACAUUUCCAGUUAGCUCUCCUGUGUCCCUUCCAGUCCAGUCCCCAGCCACCCUCUCUCUGACGAUAAUCACUGUCUAUCCUGUAUCUCAUCCUGUAUCCUGCCUGUUCGUUCAACUUGACACUCCAUGUCACGCCGUGGACCAUGCCACAGCACACCAGACCACACCAUAGCACGCCACACUGUGUGAACCCACCCCAGGGACACUAUACCACACCACACCAUGACACCUCACAUCCUGCUGCCCCAUGCCAUUCUAUACGGUGCCACAGCACACCACGCCCUACCACAGCCUAGCCCAGACGGAAAUUCAGCCUUUUUGGUAGCUUUCAUAACUCCCUCUGCCUUCACGGAAAAAAAACUCACCAAGGCCUUUGCGUGGGUAGCAGACUUUACCGAAGAUUUGGGGGGACAGAACAAUUUUUGUUCCAUAGAGGUUUCAUAUGAAAAAAAAAAAAUUGCUCAAGUGUUUCAUUACUUGUAACAUUUCUGGAAGCUUCUCAAGAGUCUGCCUUUCUGGCCCUUCUCACCUUGGUCUUCUGUGGGUGUACCAUCAGUUCCUCUAAUCUUUCCUGGUCAGUGAUUUUUGGGGCCCUUGAUGAACUCUUUGAUCUCCUCCUGGGGAGCUGGUGCAGUCACCAUCACUCAUUGCCUAGAUAAUGAAAUUCCCGGCUUUAUUCCCAGCCCCAAACUCCUAAAAUCAUUCAGAUUCCUGUGGAAGGAAUCAUUCCUUCCACAGUUUCACCAAGUGCAUCGGCUGUCCGUGGGACCUGAGGUCUGCUAGGAAAGAGGCGACCCUCGCGUCCCCCUCCUGCUUACACAAGCGCUUGUGCUCACACAGUGAUGUGUGCAGGGUAAAGCCAGCAUGCUUGGCUCCAGCUACCGCCCAAAGCCCCCUUGUCCACCCCGCUCGAUUUUCCUGUAAGACUGAGGUAGAGCGACUUUUUCCCAUUACACAUACGAAAAUCACAGUGUCUUCAGUGACUGGCAGACUCAACUGCUUCUUCCCAAGGUGGGAAAUUCUCUUCGCCACCCACUCAUUUGCCGUUAAACGCCAUGGGUUGGUGGUAGGAGAGAGAAGACAUUUACAGAGCAGCGGGGAGCCUCCGGGUGUGUGAGGCCAGCCCCCCCCCACCUCCCUACCCACCCCUCCCAGCUCCACGUCCUGCGCCUGGAGCAGUGAAGCUGGGUCCCUGAGCAGCAGACUAGCCAGGUCCCCCCUGAUGCUGAUAGAUUUCGAUCUAUUUCCCAUUGUAUUGACUUCUUCCUACAAGGCACCUCCCCGUCAUGCUGUCAGGAGCCUGAGGGUGCUGCCUGACUGUGGAACUGUGAAAAAAGGGGGAGAGCUCAGUUGUCUGUAAUCUCACAAUAGGAGAAACUCCCUCAGGACACGUGGUGAUGUCAUCGAGAGGCACAUAAAGGAGAGGCUCAUGUCUGGGGCAGGCCCAGGGUUGACGGGGAGAGAAACCCAGGCUCCCAGAUUCUCAAGACAGGCGGCCGUUCACUGACAGCCAGACGACCCCGAAUCCAGGGAUCCUCAUCCGCCUCUUGGGAGUAGGCGGCUGGCACCUUCUCCCCAAAGUCUGAGAGGACGGGCCAGCCAGUUUCUGUGGUUGUCUUUGGGAGCUAACUGACCGCUGUCUUGCUGCGGCCCAAGAGCAGGGUUCCUGCUGGGAUUUCUGCAGGAGGCGGCAGGGUCUCGGUACCCAGGGACAAAGGAGUUUGGAGGAGGUGGUUUGGGGCUGCUCUCCAAGCUGGCGUAGAAGUUUCUCAGGCGGAUACAGGAGGAGUUGCAUCCCGGGCCGCGGGAAUGUGCGCAGAGGCAGGAGCUCUGGCGGCAAGGCCCGCCCAGAUUGCCAGAGUCCUGCUAGGGCAUCUGGGUGGGUCAGGAAAGGCCCAGAACACGAUCUGUGGAGAAUAGCUAUUAUCCUGAAAGUGACAGGCAGUCUCAGAAGACGUUAAUGCAGGGGAUGGCUGGAAUUGUGUCUUAGAAAGAUCCCCUGCAGGUGGUACCUUGGCCAUGACCCAUGGGAGACCCUGGGGAUACUUGAGAAGCAGGUGUAGCCCCAGCCAGGUGGAUCCCCAGACCCCCAGGUAAGAAGAACCCCAGCCAGCUGGAGCCUCAGUAGGAAGGACUCCCAGGUAGGAGGAGCCCCAGGCAGGAGGAACCCCAGGCAGGUGGAGCUGGCCUGAACCCACCAUAGCUCCCUGUACCUUAUGAGGGUGCAGGAACUAAGCUGACUGUCCUUUAACAAGCAUCACAGUCCGACGUCGUGGUUUAGUGAUGGGGCUUUUUCUCUGAAGAGCCCUUCCUCUUCUUUCCCCCUCACUGAAUAUCUCACACAUUUCUAGCUUAGUAUGUGAAUCAUGUGGGGUUCAUUUUGAAGUGAGUGUGACUACAAUUUCGCUUGGCUCUGGAGGGUCUCCAUGCCCCGGAAGCAGCUUAGCGGGCUUGUGUGAACUUCAAGGACGGGCUCCCUCUGGUUGCACAGAGCUGAGAUUUCUCCUGCAGCCACACUGACGUCUUGUCCCCUUGUCACCGGGCCUUCCUGUAUUCCCUGCAUUGGAGUCAGCGGUUUUACAGAUGAGGCAAGCGUGCAGUGGGCUGUGGCAUUGCAGGGCUGCGCUCCCAGGACCCCAGGGGCCUGAGUGCCCUGUUGUGAACCUCCAGUGGCGAACAUCACUCAGCCUCUGCUCCUCUCCUCUAACUUUGUCCCUCUUGCAGGGAUCGCAGUGCAGCAUUCCUUACUGUCUGGCAAGGUAUUUUGGAAUGUAGUUCCCAGAGCCAGUCCACACUAGUGUUGGGACAAGUAAAAAAUGCACAGUGCCAGCAGACGUCCAAAUGGGGGAACUAGUGCAAACAGAUGACUAUAAAAUAAAAGUUAUGUCAUGAACAUAGUGGAUGAUGGAAUCGUGGAAAUGGGAAUCUGAACGUCUAAAAUACAGAAUUGGUAUUGAAGGGAAUGUAGCUCUAUUUCCAGGCUCCGGAGUCCUCCCCUUUCGUGCCCCUCUGCCUUCCCCACCCCCAUCAGUUAUUGCUUGGAGAGAAACUUGGGUGACUGGUUUUAAUGAAUAAGAUGGGAGUGAUUGGAAAUUUGCAUACCAAUGACUUUCAUGCAAAUAGGUGCUUUUGGAGUGAUUGCAAAAUUUAUUCUCUUAAACAUUUUAAACCCUCUCUUACAGUGUGGUUUCUGACAGUAAAAACUGACUUAGGACAAUAAAAAAAGGGGGCAUUUUUUUGCUCCCUUUCUUUGCACCUGGCAAGGGCAAAUUUCAGCCUAUCCUGGGGCCAGUGUUUUCCAAUUAAGAAUGAAGAGAGUCAGAUUUAACUUGGAAAAAUGUAUACAGUGUUUUUAUUUCUGAUCACAUAAAAAGUACAUAUACAGCAUGAAAAAUUAGGAAAAUAAUAAAAGUAGAAAGAUGAAGGUAAAAUCAACUGUACUAUAGCUCUUUCUCUUUACAUAUGUAAAAUUUUUCAGCAGAAAUAUGGGCAUAGUGGACUUACUGUUCUGUAAUUUUUUUUCACACUUAGUGAUUUAUUGAGAACAUUUCCCCAUGCCACUAAAUAUUCUUUAACGGUAAGGUUUUUAUUAAUUGUAUACUGGUGGCAUUGUGACACUUUCAUUUGUUUCACCGUGCCCCAGUUUUGUAUUUUUAAGUGGUUUCCAGUCG